CCGGAUAAUCAAGCUACAGUAACCUCUGCUAAUGACACCACGUCACCUCCGUUACUGUCGCUAAUCUCGUGUUAGUUCGAAAACGAUUCAAAUUCAAAUUUGAAAUUAAGGCAAACAACAAAAGUUUUCCAAAAAUAAAACUAAAAUGUUCUAAAUGUGUCGGAUAAAUCAUAGGUAAAUGGGGUGGUGAAACCAAACUUUUAUGAAAUUCUUAACUACACCAUAAUGAUUUAAAUAGUAGCAAAACUAAUUAUUUAAUUUAUAGAGUUUUUCCCCUCUUAUCUUUUCGUAAGUCCGGUGAAGAUCCUGAAGGAAGGACGGCAACUUCAUCAUGAUGCAUUGAUGCAGAGAAAUGAAGACAUCAAUAUAAUGGAUUGCCCACUUCGAGAAGAGGAACCAAGAGCGAGGAGAUCCGUUAGCAUUCCGUAACUAGACCUUUCCCCCCUUCUCUACCUCUUAAAUCUCGGGACGAGAUUUCUUGUAGUGGAGGAGAAUUGUGACGCCUGGAUAAUCAAGCUACAGUAACCUCUGCUAAUGACACCACGUCACCUCCGUUACUGUCGCUAAUCUCGUGUUAGUUCAAAAACGAUUCAAAUUCAAAUUUGAAAUUAAGGCAAACAAUAAAAGUUUUCCAAAAAUAAAACUAAAAUGUUCUAAAUGUGUCGGAUAAAUCAUAGGUAAAUGGGGUGGUGAAACCAAACUUUUAUGAAAUGCUUAACUACACCAUAAUGAUUUAAAUAGUAGCAAAACUAAUUAUUUAAAUGCCUUCACUAAUUAAAUAAAAUAUCAAACUAAAUUAUUUGGGGACUAGAGUUUUUGUGGCAGUGGACUAAAUUGAAAUACCAAAUUAGAUGCCAAGUAUAUAUUUCACAAAAAACUAAAACAAUAAGAA
rnacentral:lncRNA from 1 species